CGAUGCGAUCAUACCAGCACUAAAGCACCGGAUCCAUCAGAACUCGCAGUUAAGCGUGCUUGGGCGAGAGUAGUACUAGGAUGGGUGACCCCUGGAAGUCUCGUGUUGCAUCCC
rnacentral:rRNA from 1 species